GACGAACGCUGGCGGCGUGCUUAACACAUGCAAGUCGAGCGGUAAGGCCCUUUCGGGGGUACACGAGCGGCGAACGGGUGAGUAACACGUGGGUGACCUGCCCUUAGCUCUGGGAUAAGCCUGGGAAACUGGGUCUAAUACCGGAUAUGACUCCAUGACGCAUGUUGUGGGGUGGAAAGCCUUGUGCGGCUAGGGAUGGGCCCGCGGCCUAUCAGCUUGUUGGUGGGGUGAUGGCCUACCAAGGCGACGACGGGUAGCUGGUCUGAGAGGAUGGCCAGCCACAUUGGGACUGAGAGACGGCCCAGACUCCUACGGGAGGCAGCAGUGGGGAAUCUUGCGCAAUGGCCGAAAGGCUGACGCAGCGACGCCGCGUGGGGA
rnacentral:rRNA from 1 species